UAAUAAUAAUAAUAAUAAUUCUUUAUUUAAAGAGGGUUACACAGUUAGCUAUAAAACUAAUCUUCCCUGAGGCCCUCAUGAAUUACAAUGAAAUAAAACAAACAAUUACAAAAUAUCAAACAAGCACACAUAUAUGAAAAAACAAGAGUGCACACACUGAAAUGUCUCGCCUUCUUUACUAAUCAUUGAUAUUAUGUUGAUAGUCCUAAAUAUAAAGCUUUAUUACAACUGUCACAUAAACUUAACAUUAACCAAGAAAACUAAACAUUGACCAAUGAACCAUGAAAAUGAGGUCAAGGUCAGAUGAACCAUGCCAAGCAGACAUGUACAGUUAACAAUUCUUCCAUAUAACAAAUAUAGUUGACCUAUUGCUUAUAGUUUAAGACCAAAACACAAAAACUUAACACUGAGCAAUGAACUGUGAAAAUGAGGUCAAGGUCAUAUAAAACCUGCGCGACUGACAUAAAGAUCAUAAAAUAUUUCCUUACACCAAAUAUAGUUGACCUAUUGGAUAUAGUAUUAGAAAAAAAGACCAAAACUCAAAAACUUACCUUUGACAACUGAACCAUGAAAACGAGGUCAAGGUCAGAUGACACCUGCCAGCUAGACAUGUACACCUUACAAUCAUUCCAUACACCAAAUAUAGUAGACCUAUUGCAUACAGUAUAAGAAAAACAGACCAAAACACAAAAACUUAACUAUAACCACUGAACCAUGAAAACGAGGUCAAGGUCAGAUGACACCUGCCAGCUAGACAUGUACACCUUACAAUCAUUCCAUACACCAAAUAUAGUAGACCUAUUGCAUACAGUAUAAGAAAAAGAGACCAAAACACAAAAACUUAACUAUAACCACUGAACCAUGAAAAUGAGGUCAAGGUCAGAUGACACCUGCCAGUUGGACAUGUACACCUUACAGUCCUUCCAUACACCGAAUAUACUAGACCUAUUGCUUAUAGUAUCUGAGAUAUGGACUUGACCACGAAAACUUAACCUUGUUCACUGAUCCAUGAAAUGAGGUCGAGGUCAAGUGAAAACUGUCUGACGGGCAUGAGGACCUUGCAAGGUACGCACAUACCAAAUAUAGUUAUCCUAUUACUUAUAAUAAGAGAGAAUUUAACAUUACAAAAAAUCUGAACUUUUUUUUCAAGUAGUCACUGAACCAUGAAAAUGAGGUCAAGGACAUUGGACAUGUGACUGACGGAAACUUCGUAACAUGAGGCAUCCAUAUACAAAGUAUGAAGCAUCCAGGUCUUCCAUCUUCUAAAAUAUAAAGCUUUUAAGAAGUUAGCUAACGCCGCCGCCGCCGCCGUAGCCGCCGCCGCCGCCGCCGCCGGAUCGCUAUCCCUAUGUCGAGCUUUCUGCGACAAAAGUCGCAGGCUCGACAAAAACUGCAUUUUACCCCUAUGUUCUAUUUUUAACCAUGUCGGCCAUGAUGGUUAGAAGGCGGGGUCAUCGGACAAAUUUUUUAACCUAGAUAACCUAAUAAUGAUUAUGGCCAGGUAU